rnacentral:lncRNA from 1 species
CCUUAUCUAUAAAUCCAAAAUAAAUAUUUUUCAUGGUAGUUAUUGACCUUGAAGACAAUGGGAUGAUUUGACUUAGAGAGGGAGGUGGAUGAAGAGGAGGUGUCGGUUGAGGACAUGGUGAAGUUGGCUCUCUCGACUGAGGUGGUGGAUGAACGGGUUGAGAAGCUUGGUAAACAUCUCUUCUAUUGCCCACCUCAACCCU